rnacentral:rRNA from 1 species
UACGGAGGGUGCGAGCGUUAAUCGGAAUUACUGGGCGUAAAGGGUGCGUAGGUGGUUUAAUAAGUUAUCUGUAAAAGCCCUGGGCUUAGCCUGGGAAGGCCAGAUAAGACUGUUAGACUGGAGUAUGGGAGAGGGUAGUGGAAUUUCCGGUGUAGCGGUGAAAUGCGUAGAGAUCGGAAGGAACACCAGUGGCGAAGGCGGCUACCUGGCCUGAUACUGACACUGAAGUACGAAAGCGUGGGGAGCAAACAGG